UGUAGUGACGUCAGGAGCGGCGCCCAUUUUCCCCUGGUCUGAGCUCCGCCUUCCUUCUAUCAUUCCCACAAGGCAGCAGGAGCAGAGAGCAGCCAUUGCUGUGUCUGGCAGCAGGAUUAAACAGUAGUGAAGAAUAUAUCCUGUGAGCGUGAGACACCCAGCAGCCAUCCUCUUGUGUCAGGAGGACUGAGAAGGACCCAGAGCCCAAUCACGGUUCCUCCACCUCACUCACUAUACAUGAGAGACACAGUGACGAGAAGAUCCUUGAACUCACUAACAAGAUCAUUCAGCUGCUGACUGGAGAGAUGGGCCCAGUAACAGAGAUACCCCAGAGAGAUGUCUCCGUCCUCUGUAUUCCCAGGACUGUACAGAGGAGAAUCACAGGAUCCCUCAGGAGGAUCAGGUAGAACGUCUGUCUGAUAUUAAAACAGAAGAUAUAAAGGGAGAAGAAGAGACUUAUCUAACUGUUAUAAAGGAAGAAGAUAUAGAGGGAGAAGAAGAGACGUAUGUGAGGGGUGAUCAGCAGUGUAAGGAGGAGGAGAUCCCUACAGAUAUCAGCAC